rnacentral:rRNA from 1 species
AUUGACCGCUGGCGGCAGGCCUAACACAUGCAAGUCGAGCGAGCGGCGGACGGGUGAGUAAUGUAUGGGGACUGCCCGCUAGAGGGGGAUAACUACUGGAAACGGUGGCUAAUACCGCAUACUAUCGGAUAACCGAUAUGGGAUUAGCUAGUAGGUGGGGUAAAGGCGCACCUAGGCGGCGAUCUAUAGCUGGUCUGAGAGGAUGAACGGCAACCCUGGGGCUGACACACGACCCAUACUCCUACGGAGGCAUACGUGGGGAAUAUUGCACAAUGGGCGCAAGCCUGAUGCAGCCAUGCCGCGUGUAUGAAGAAGGCCUUAGGGUUGUAAAGUACUUUCAGCGGGGAGGCGUUACCCGCAGAAGAAGCACCGGCUAACUCCGUGCCAGCAGCCGCGGUAAUUC